rnacentral:lncRNA from 1 species
GAUGUUUUCAUGGUACACUGGGUGACUGUGCAUGCGUCUCAGUGAGGACUUUGGGAAGAGAUCAUAACCUGAACUGAAGAAUGUUGAAUAGUGUCCCAAAUGCCUUUUAAUCAGUUUUCAUGAUGAGCAAAUAAAUCAACUUAGAAGUGGACUUCAGCACCUUCCUAUUCUCUGGCCUUCACCGGUCAUGGUGUGUAGGAAGCUGGUGAUGGUGUUGGGAAGAGGAUUUCACAGCUCAGUGAAGCGAUCCCCGUGACCAGGAACGACAAAUAGCAACAAGCUAGAAGAAGGCACAGUAGCCUCAGACCAUGGAGCUGCCCAGCUGUCAUGUGACCAUCACCUCAAGAGACCUCAGCUUCCCAGUGGCAGGAAACCAUAGCAUCUAUGUGUUUGUGAAUAGAAAGGCACUCUGCUGACAUUGAUGAAAUGAACCUCAUGUUCAGGUCCUCUCCCACCCCAGUUCUAACACUGAAAUCCUAAUCUGCACGGUGAUGAUGUUCAAGAGGUGAGAUCUCUAGGAGCUAAUUAUGUCAUGAGGGCUGAACCCUCAAGUAUGGGGCCUGCUUGAAUUAAAAUACCAAUAAAAAGGAAACCCUAGAGAGGUCCUCAGUGUCUUUCAUCAGGUAAGGUCCCAGUGAAAAGGACCAUUGCAGCCACAGAACUUCAGAUGUGCUUAGAGAUGAAAUUGUCAUAAAAUAGGGAGUGGAGAGAGUUAUAAUUAAUUUUCUGUAUUUUCCUGUGAAGUCUAGAUUCCAUCAAUCCCGACUCAUCUUCAUCAUGGAACAUUUAUUAAGAUUGAGGAUCUGGACUGAGUUCUAAGAAU